UUCUGAAUAGCACAGACAUCAAUGGCUCCCCUUUCCCUGUGAUGGCGUUUCAGGCAUGAGCCACCGCGCCUGGCCGUAUAAUUUUUUUUUUGAGACAGAGUCUGACUUUAUCACCCAGGCUGGAGUGCAGUGAUGUGAUCAUGACUUACUGCAGCCUCAACUUCCUGGGAUCAAUGAUCCUCCCACCUCAGCUUCCCAAGUAGCUGGGACCACAGGCAUGUGCCACCAUGCCCUGCUAAUUUUUGUAUUUUUUGUAGAGACAGGGUCUCGCCACGUUGCCCAGGCUGGUUGGGAAUUCCUGGGCUCAAGCGAUCCACUUGCUUUGACCUCCCAAAGUGCUGGGAGUACAGAUGUGAGCCACCGCACCCAGCAUGUAUUUUAAAUGUUUUAUAAUGAACACAUAUUACUUUUAAAAUCAGGAUAAGACAAAACUAAAAAACCUUGUUUAUGUAUAAAAGGCAUAGCUGAGAACGUGAACAUGAUGC
rnacentral:lncRNA from 1 species